rnacentral:rRNA from 1 species
AUACGGAGGAUGCAAGCGUUAUCCGGAUUUAUUGGGUUUAAAGGGUGCGCAGGCGGGAGAUUAAGUCGGCGGUGAAAUUUUGCAGCUCAACUGUAAAAGUGCCUUCGAAACUGGUUUCCUUGAGUGUAGAUGAAGUAGGCGGAAUUUGUGGUGUAGCGGUGAAAUGCAUAGAUAUCACGAGGAACUCCGAUUGCGCAGGCAGCGUACUAAACUACUACUGACGCUCAGGCACGAAGGCGUGGGGAUCAAACAGGAUUAGAUACCCUGGUAGUCCACGCAGUAAACGAUGAUUACUAGCUGUUUGCGAUACAAUGUAAGCGGCUGAGCGAAAGCGUUAAGUAAUCCACCUGGGGAGUACGUUCGCAAGAAUGAAACUCAAAGGAAUUGACGGGG